CAGCAGCACUGUCUUCAGGUAAUCGAGGACGGUCUGGCAGGGCACUGUGAGGAGGAAGAACAACGGUAUAAAGGCUUUUCAGGGAAGAAAAUGAAGCCCCCGUGCUCCUGGCAGUACCUUCAGGAGAACCUGAAGACACUUAGUCAACUGAUCUCAACCUUCCUUCUUCCAUCUGCUGACUGCGGAUGUUGCUUUCUCCUUUGUGCCUAUCCGUCCUGGGUGUCCUGCCACAAACUGACUGUCAGAUGGAGCAGACUCUACAAAACAGCCCCAGGUCUUCCUAUGGGAAUGCACUGUCUCUAGGACAAGUGCAGAGCUACUGCCUGAAAACACACAGAGACUAGGAAGAAGGCAAGAUGGCAGUACUUCCCCUUCUCUUUGGUCAAGUUUCCAUCUUCAGGUGACACGUUCAAUCUCUUUCCUGAGAUAGCGAUCACAUUCGACGACAGGUAACCACCAAUCAGCUUGGGUGUCCUGUCCCCCCCCCCCCUACUCCUUUUUAUCUGUGCAUAAUUCAUAGCCUGAUUCUUCAUGUGUAUUGCUGGGCUUCCACAGACAUGGUGAGAGGGACUCACACAGCCCACGAAAGCCUCAUGCUUGGUAUGUAGUUGAAGAUGCCCUAGAAUGCCUUAUCCUCCUGCUCUGUCUCAGUGUUGGGACUGAUGUGUGCCACCAA